rnacentral:tRNA from 1 species
GAUUAGAUAAGCUAAAAUAAGCUAUCGGGCUCAUACCUCGAGAAUGGGAUUUCCCUCUAAUCA